GACGAACGCUGGCGGCGUGCCUAACACAUGCAAGUCGAGCGGGGUCCAUCCAGUGGCAACACUGGGGAAGACCUAGCGGCGAACGGGUGAGUAACACGUGAGAAACCUGCCCUGAAGUCUGGGAUAACCCGAGGAAACUCGAGCUAAUACCGGAUGCCCCCACCGAGUCGCAUGGCUUGGUGAGGAAAGAUUCAUCGCUUCAGGAGGGUCUCGCGGCCUAUCAGCUAGUUGGCGGGGUAACGGCCCACCAAGGCAUCGACGGGUAGCUGGUCUGAGAGGACGAUCAGCCACACUGGGACUGAGACACGGCCCAGACUCCUACGGGAGGCAGCAGUGGGGAAUAUUGCGCAAUGGGCGAAAGCCUGACGCAGCAACGCCGCGUGCGGGAUGACGGCCUCGG
rnacentral:rRNA from 1 species